rnacentral:tRNA from 1 species
GCCCGGGUGGCGGAAUUGGUAGACGCAAGGGACUUAAAAUCCCUCGGGCGCAAGCCCGUGCCGGUUCAAGUCCGGCCCCGGGCA